GAGCGAACGGGGACCAGCCGAGCUGUGAAUGUGACUAGAAUCCGUUGGAAAGCGGAGCAAUAUGGGUGACAGCCCCGUAUAGGAAGCAUGAUCAGACGUAUUAAGUAGGGCGGAACACGUGAAAUUCUGUCUGAAGAUCGGAGGACCACCUUCGAAGGCUAAGUACUCCUUACUGACCGAUAGCGAACCAGUACCGUGAGGGAAAGGUGAAAAGCACCCCGAUAAGGGGAGUGAAAUA
rnacentral:rRNA from 1 species